rnacentral:tRNA from 1 species
GGGGCUGUGGUUCAGCAAAAAAGCUCCUGCUUUGCAUGCAGAAGGUCCAAGGUUCAAUCCCUGGCAUCUCCA